GACAGAGGGUGCAAACGUUGUUCGGAAUUACUGGGCGUAAAGCGUGUGUAGGCGGUCCUGUAAGUCGGAUGUGAAAGCCCCGGGCUCAACCCGGGAAGUGCACUCGAAACUGCAGGGCUAGAGUAUCGGAGAGGUUGGUGGAAUUCUCGGUGUAGAGGUGAAAUUCGUAGAUAUCGAGAGGAACACCGGCGGCGAAGGCGGCCAACUGGACGAAUACUGACGGCUGAGACACGAAAGCGUGGGGAGCAAACAGG
rnacentral:rRNA from 1 species